rnacentral:rRNA from 1 species
CCUACGGGUGGCAGCAGUGGGGAAUCUUGCGCAAUGGCCGAAAGGCUGACGCAGCGACGCCGCGUGGAGGAUGACGCCCUUCGGGGUGUAAACUCCUGUUGCCCGGGACGAAUACCUGUUUCGACAGGGGUGACGGUACCGGGUGAGGAAGCACCGGCUAACUCUGUGCCAGCAGCCGCGGUAAUACAGAGGGUGCGAGCGUUGUCCGGAAUCACUGGGCGGCACGGGCGUGGCGGGGGCGGGGUGUGGUGAAAGUCCGGGGCUCAACCCCGGAUCGGCCAUGCGAACUGCUUCGCUGGAGCACGGUAGAGGCACAUGGAAUUCCGGGUGUAGCGGUGGAAUGCGUAGAGAUCCGGAAGAACACCGGUGGCGAAGGCGGUGUGCUGGGCCGUUGCUGACACUGAGGCGCGACAGCGUGGGGAGCAAACAGGAUUAGAUACCCCUGUAGUC